rnacentral:rRNA from 1 species
UAGGGAAUCUUCCACAAUGGACGCAAGUCUGAUGGAGCAACGCCGCGUGAGUGAAGAAGGUUUUCGGACCGUAAAGCUCUGUUGUUGGUGAAGAAGGAUAGAGGUAGUAACUGGCCUUUAUUUGACGGUAAUCAACCAGAAAGUCACGGCUAACUACGUGCCAGCAGCCGCGGUAAUACGUAGGUGGCAAGCGUUGUCCGGAUUUAUUGGGCGUAAAAGCGAGCGCAGGCGGAAGAAUAAGUCUGAUGUGAAAGCCCUCGGCUUAACCGAGGAAUUGCAUCGGAAACUGUUUUCUUGAGUGCAGAA